UAUUCCCCUUCCUGUGUCCAUGUGAUCUCAUUGUUCAAUUCCCACCUAUGAGAAUAUGCGGUGUUUGGUUUUUUGUUCUUGCGAUAGUUUACUGAGAAUGAUGAUUUCCAGUUUCAUCCAUGUCCCUACAAAGGACAUGAACUCAUCAUUUUUUAUGGCUGCAUAGUAUUCCAUGGUGUAUAUGUGCCACAUUUUCUUAAUCCAGUCUAUCAUUGUUGGACAUUUGGGUGACAAAGCUUUUAAAGGAAGUUCUCAACCUUUAUUACACGUAAUUCAUACUGGACAGAAACCCUACAAGUGUGAAGAAUGUGGCAUGGCCUAUAAGAAGUUCUCAAUUCCAUUUUUUUUUUUUUUUUUGAGAUGAAAUUUCAGUCUUGUCACCCAGGCUGGAGUACAAUGGCAUGAUCUUGGCUCACUGCAACCUCUACCUCCUGGGUUCAAGCCAUUCUCCUGUCUUAGCCUCCCAAGUAGCUGGGAUUACAGUUGCCCACCACCACGUCUGGCUAAUUUUUUGUAUUUCUAGUAGAGACGGGGUUUCACAAUGUUGGCCAGUCUGGUCUCGAACUCUUGACCUCAGGUGAUCCACCCACCUUGGCCUCCCAAAGUCCUAGGGUUACAGGCAUGAGCCACCAUGCCUGGCUACAGGUUUUCAAUUCUUAAGAGACAUGGUGAUAAUUCAUGCUGGAGAGGAAAUCUACAAACCUGAAAGAUGUGACAGUGCUUUUUACCAACACCUCCAAAUUUCCUAUACAUAAAAAUAAAUUACACUAAUGUGAAACCCUAGAAAUGUAUAAAAUGUGACAAAGCCUUUAUAUGGUUGUGACACUGAUUGUAGGUAAGAUAAUUCAUACUGGCAAAACUCCUACAAGUGUGAAGAAUGUGGUAAAACUUUUAAUCAGUGCUUACACCGUAUUUCACAGGAAAGCUAUUAUCCUUGAGAAAAAUUGUACAAAUAUAAAGAAUAUGGAAAAGCCAUUAAUGCCCAUCACAUCUUACUCAACAGAAGAAAGCUCGUAGUUAAUAAAAGCAUGAAAAGGGCAAUUACUGUCAAAAAAUCUUUCAGAAAAUAUAAGCCUUUAGAGUGAAGAAUAUUUAUUUUGAAGACAGCCAUUACAAAUAUAAAGUGGGUUGUAGUGCCUUUACUUGUGUCACAGAUCUUAUUGAACACAUUUGUACUAGAAGAAAACCCUGAAGCAGUUGCUCAAGCUUUGCUCAACAUUGGAAUUUAUAUUGGAGAAGAGUCCUGCUAAUGAAUUUGGAAAGCCCUUUUUUUUUUUUUCAAAAACUGCAGCUUAGAAAACACCAGAGAGCUUAUACUAAAAUAUAUUUUUGCAGAUGCAGUAAAUAUAAAAAAAUUUAAUUCAAAAUUGAUUCUAUGUAAAUAUCAGAUAAUUUACAGCAAAAUAACUAAGGCACUGACACUUCAGACAUUACACUAAAUCAGAGUGUUGAGUAUAAAAACUAAUCCACAGCUACAGCUGUUAAAUUAUUUGUAUAUAACUUUAAAAGUAGUAGAUUUUUUUUUUUUUUUUUGAGACGGAGUCUCGCUCUGUCGCCCAGGCUGGAGUGCAGUGGCGGGAUCUCGGC
rnacentral:lncRNA from 1 species